GAUGAACGCUGGCGGCGUGCCUAAUACAUGCAAGUCGAGCGAACAGAUGAGGAGCUUGCUCCUCUGACGUUAGCGGCGGACGGGUGAGUAACACGUGGAUAACCUACCUAUAAGACUGGGAUAAAUUCGGGAAACCGGAGCUAAUACCGGAUAAUAUAUUGAACCGCAUGGUUCAAUAGUGAAAGACGGUUUUGCUGUCACUUAUAGAUGGAUCCGCGCCGCAUUAGCUAGUUGGUAAGGUAACGGCUUACCAAGGCAACGAUGCGUAGCCGACCUGAGAGGGUGAUCGGCCACCCUGGAACUGGGACACGGUCCAGGCUCCUACGGGAGGCAGCAGUAGGGAAUCUUCCGCAAUGGGCGAAAGCCUGACGGAGCAACGCCGCGUGAGUGAUGAAGGUCUUCGGAUCGUAAAACUCUGUUAUUAGGGAAGAACAAAUGUGUAAGUAACUAUGCACGUCUUGACGGUACCUAAUCAGAAAGCCACGGCUAACUACGUG
rnacentral:rRNA from 1 species